rnacentral:rRNA from 1 species
GUAACACGUAUGCAACCUACCCUUUACUGGGGCAUAGCUCAGAGAAAUCUGAAUUAAUUCCCCAUAAUACAAUUGAAUGGCAUCAUUUGAUUAUUAAAGUUGAGGCGGUAAAGGAUGGGCAUGCGUUGCAUUAGCUAGUUGGUGAGGUAAUGGCUCACCAAGGCUACGAUGCAUAGGGGUUCUGAGAGGAUGAUCCCCCACACUGGUACUGAGACACGGACCAGACUCCUACGGGAGGCAGCAGUAGGGAAUAUUGGUCAAUGGACGCAAGUCUGAACCAGCCAUGCCGCGUGCAGGAAGACGGCCCUCUGGGUUGUAAACUGCUUUUAUAUGGGAAGAAACCUCAUUAUGCGUAAUGGACUGACGGUACCAUAUGAAUAAGGAUCGGCUAACUUCGUGCCAGCAGCCGCGGUAAGACGAAGGAUCCAAGCGUUGUCCGGAUUUACUGGGUUUAAAGGGUGCGUAGGCGGAAUUUUAAGUCAGUGGUGAAAGCCCUUCGCUCAACGAAGGAACUGCCAUUGAAACUGAAAUUCUUGAAUACGGUUGAGGUAGAUGGAAUAUAACAUGUAGCGGUGAAAUGCUUAGAUAUGUUAUAGAACACCGAUUGCGAAGGCAGUCUACUAAGCCGUGAUUGACGCUGAGGCA